AGGAUAGGAUAGGUGUGAUAAAGUGUAGGAUAGGUGUGAUAAAUGUGAUAAAGUAUAGGAUAGGUAUGAUAAAGUGUAGGAUAGGUGUGAUAAAUGUGGUAAAGUGUAGGAUAGGUGUGAUAAAUGUGAUAAAGUGUAGGAUAGGAGUGAUAAAGUUCGUAAUAGGUCUGAUAAUGUUUGACAUAGAUGUGAAAAGGUUGGGGAUAGUAUGAUAAAGUGUAGGAUAGGUGUGAUAAAUGUGAUAAAGUGUAGGAUAGGUGUGAUAAAGUUCGUAAUAGGUCUGAUAAUGUUUAACAUGGAUGUGAAACAGUUGGGGAUAGUAUGAUAAAGUGUAGGAUAGGUGUGAUAAAUGUGAUAAAAUGUAGGAUAGGUGUGAUAAAGUUCGGGAUAGGUGUGAUAAAGUUUGACAAAGAUGUGAAAUAGUUGGGGAUAGUAUGAUAAAGUGUAGGAUAGGUGUGAUAAAGUUCGUAAUAGGUCUGAUAAUGUUUGACAUAGAUGUGAAACAGUUGGGGAUAGUAUGAUAAAGUGUAG